AGGGAUCAUUACAAGAACGCCCGGGCUUCGGCCUGGUUAUUCAUAACCCUUUGUUGUCCGACUCUGUUGCCUCCGGGGCGACCCUGCCUUCGGGCGGGGGCUCCGGGUGGACACUUCAAACUCUUGCGUAACUUUGCAGUCUGAGUAAACUUAAUUAAUAAAUUAAAACUUUUAACAACGGAUCUCUUGGUUCUGGCAUCGAUGAAGAACGCAGCGAAAUGCGAUAAGUAAUGUGAAUUGCAGAAUUCAGUGAAUCAUCGAAUCUUUGAACGCACAUUGCGCCCCCUGGUAUUCCGGGGGGCAUGCCUGUUCGAGCGUCAUUUCACCACUCAAGCCUCGCUUGGUAUUGGGCAACGCGGUCCGCCGCGUGCCUCAAAUCGUCCGGCUGGGUCUUCUGUCCCCUAAGCGUUGUGGAAACUAUUCGCUAAAGGGUGUUCGGGAGGCUACGCCGUAAAACAACCCCAUUCUAAGGUGAACCUCGGAUCAGGGAGG
rnacentral:misc_RNA from 2 species